rnacentral:ncRNA from 1 species
UAUAUUUGCAUCGUCCAAAAGAGGGCUACAUAAUAAUCAUUUAAAAUAAUAUUUGCAUG